rnacentral:rRNA from 1 species
GCUGAGGUUUAUAGUUUUAUAUAAGGUUCAGGAGAUGUGUAUUUUAGAUGAGAUGUGUUGGCUUUCAGCAUUAUAUUAGCUAUAAUAAAACAUUGAUCUUGCAUGAAAUUUAAAGAGUUCUUGAGAGGGGAGUACGGUUAGAAAGGGUUUUAAUAGUUCUUUUGUAAUUGGUCGUAUCUAUUAGUUGAGGUCUCAAUACGUUAGGGGCGUUACAUUGAUGGAUGAUUUAUUUCUCAACAUCAGCAGUUAGGAUUUGGAUAUUAUAGAAAUAUAGACUAGGCAAUUGUUUUUAGGAGGGAUGAAUGAUGUGCCAGCAUUCGCGGUUAAACAUCGUCUUCAAGUUAAUAUAUAAUCGUGGAACAGUAAGGUUGAAAUAGUUAAAAAGUUUUGUUGGCAGAUUUAACGGUGAAAUGUGUAAAUAAUCUAGGUUAAAUGUAGUGGUUCAUGGUAAAUUUUUUUUAUUUUGGACUACUGUUUGGCUGUGUCAUGUACUGUAAGACUUUAAAAAUUUAAGCUGAGGAAGCUGUGUAUUAAAAACAAGGAUUAGAGACCCUUUUAUUUAGGCUGAAGCUAGGUUUUCCAUGGGUAUGAUGAACGUUAUAAUAAGUUUAGUAGCUUAUGAGAGUUGGCGGCAUUUUGCAACCUUUUAGGGGAACUUGGCGUUUAAAUCGAUGAUCCUCGAAAAUCUUACCUCUAAUUUUCCUUUCAUACCGCCGUUGUCAGCGAGUUUUGAAAAAUUGAUUCGCGUAUACAAAGUCUAAAAUUAGUUUAGUGAAAUAUUUUUUUUGUGAGAAUUCAGGUAAACGUGUAGGUGUUUUAGAG